CAGGUGGUUUUGUUAAGUCAGAUGUGAAAGCCCGGGGCUCAACCUCGGAAUUGCAUUGAAACUGGCAAACUAGAGUACUGUAGAGGGGGUAGAAUUUCAGGUGUAGCGGUGAAAUGCGUAGAGAUCUGAAGGAAUACCGGUGGCGAAGGCGGCCCCCUGGACAGAUACUGACACUCAGACUGCGAAAGCGUGGGGAGCAAACAGGAUUAGAUACCCUGGUAG
rnacentral:rRNA from 1 species